rnacentral:lncRNA from 1 species
AGAAACUUCCAGCGAAGAAGAAGAAUGAGAGUUUAAUAUCUUUCAAUUUCACCCCUUAGAACUUGCAAUCUUUCAAUUUCAUCCUUUGGAACUUUCCUUUUAACCCCACAUGAUAUCUUCAGAUUAAAAGACUAAAAAAUCCUCACAUUAAGCAUGUGCAUCGCACGUGCGCCGGAAAAAUGAGAAGAUUCGCCAGAAUAUUCCC